UAGUUCAGCUGUCUGUGAAUGAGGGCAGAGACCUCAUCAGAGAGGCUGGGCUCUGU
ensembl:miRNA gga-mir-12223 gga-mir-12223